rnacentral:lncRNA from 1 species
GUAGUUAAAAAAUAUUUAGAGUUAAUAAAAAGUAAUAAAAUUAAAAAAAAGAGGACAAAGAUAAUGUUCGUAUAAAUUUUCAAAAAAAAGAGGGUGAUUUUGGUUUGUUUUCUUUUCUUUUAUUUCUAUUUUAUCUUAUUUCUUUUUGUUUUAUCUUAUUUCAUUUUAUUUUAAUUUAUUGUAUUCCAUUUUGUUUUAUGUUAUUUCAUUUUUGUAUUUAUUUUUAUUUUUAUUUUUUUUUCUUUCGGUUUACUUUAAUGUAUUUUGCUUUCAUAUUUUAUUUAUUUUGUAGUUUCCUUUUAAUUCGUUUUUAUAUUUUAAGUUCAAAAAAGGGAUAUUUUUAUAUAAUUAUUUCCCUGACAAAAAAUGAAAAAAUGAAAAAUGAAAAGGAAAAAGUAAAAUCACAAAGGUCAACUUUGCUAUCCUUUUCGUUUUUGCACGUUGUCUCCUUUUGGGUGCAAAUAUUUUGCUCAGCCAUGGACGCAAUAGAGACAGACCACACUAUCUUUGGCUUACUACCAAAAGCGGAAAGAUCAUCUCUGUCCAUGAGAACAUGAGAGCAGAGAAGGUGGCUGGGUUGCAGGAAGCAACCAUUGGACAGACACGCCUUUGACUUUGAAGAAAUCUCAUAGAAGAAAAAGGAAGAAAAAAGAGAAUGGCUAAAGAUUUUCCCACCAUACCAAACCGAUCCUAACAUUCUAACCUCAACCACAUUUCCCUUUCAAUUUCAAUUCCUCACCUCCAAUAGCAUCCAGAUUUCAUCCACCAAAAACCCCAAAGCCAUUACAAUCUAGAUUCUUUACAAUCCAGCUUGGAAAGUCAUGAAAAAACAAGAAGUUCAUUGACCAUGCCCGAGAGAGCCUUGGACCAUUUGGAUUCACUUCCAGCACCUCACCAAACAUCGAAGACUCACCAUCAACACCGAACCAUCACAUAGAGCUCUUGACUCCUGGACCUUCAGCACUAGCUUCGUAUAUCCAGUCAUAGCAACCAUAGAAGCGUAGAAGCUCCAAGUGGUAAACGAGUAAACUCAUUUCAC